rnacentral:rRNA from 1 species
CCUACGGGAGGCAGCAGUGGGGAAUAUUGGACAAUGGAGGCAACUCUGAUCCAGCAAUGCCGCGUGUGUGAUGAAGGCCCUAGGGUUGUAAAGCACUUUCAACGGUGAAGAUGAUGACGGUAGCCGUAGAAGAAGCCCCGGCUAACUUCGUGCCAGCAGCCGCGGUAAUACGAAGGGGGCGAGCGUUAUUCGGAAUUACUGGGCGUAAAGGGCUCGCGGGCUGCUUGAACAGUUAGACGUGAAAUCCCCGGGCUCAACCUGGGAACUGCGUUUAAUACUAGCAAGCUAGAGAAAUAGAGAGGAAAGUGGAACUCCCAGUGUAGAGGUGAAAUUCGUAGAUAUUGGGAAGAACACCAGUGGCGAAAGCGACUUUCUGGCUAUUUUCUGACGCUGAGGAGCGAAAGCGUGGGGAGCAAACAGGAUUAGAUACCCUGGUAGUCCACGCCGUAAACGAUGUGUGCUAGAUGUUGGAGGGAUACCUUUCAGUGUCGCAGCUAACGCACUAAGCACACCGCCUGGGAAGUACGGUCGCAAGAUUAAAACUCAAAGGAAUUGACGG